UGUCGCCCUGCACCGCUCCAGCUCGCCUGGCUCACCGCCCUGCCUCCCUUGCCCACUCAGUCAGCCCCUAGUGCGGGGGUGUGUGUGUGUGUGUGUGGGGGGGGGGGUGUCCAGACUCUGUCACUAAUUAUGUCUUUUCACCCCCCUCCUCCGCCACUAACUGAUCUAUAAUUUGGUACCCAAGUUUGAUUUUUCUCUUGCACUCUCUUUACUUCCUCCCCCCUUCCCCCCCCCGCCACUCCGCGUGAAACUGGAUCAAAAAUAUCCAAGGGGAUUACACUUUAACCCAGUGCCUUCCUGCGAGCACUCAUAAGGCCGCUAGCAUGUUCUCCAGCCUUGUCUAUAUGGAUUUCAAAAGCUCUGUUUCUCCAAGUAACGCUUCAGCAUCCUUUGUGAUGGGAUCCAUUGUGUGUGAGCAUCAUCAUCAGUCUCUAAGACAAGUUUUUUUUAAAACUUUCAAUAUUUGUGAAGAGAUUGCUAGAUACAAGGUCUCACUCCAGAGCUGCUCUGGGUGCAGAACUACUCCAAUGAAGAGAUCGGUCAACAGAGCAGCCGUAGAAUAUGGCCCAUAUUGAGGGCAUGUACUGUGUACUGAGGAGUGGGCAUUUAAACCAAUCUCCAUUGUAACAUAAUUGAUGAAAAGCACCUGCUGUCAGAUUCUCAGCUGGUAUAAAUCAGCAGACCUCCAUUGACCUCAGUGGAGCUGCAGGAUGCUGAUUCGUACCAGCUGAGGAUCUGGCCCCUGAACUUUUGUGAGUUCAGGUUCUGCAGACAGAUGGUUAUGAUCUGACAACACUGUAUUGCAACUUAAAUACUGCCACAUCAUGCCCAGAGAGUCUUGUGCUUUGGGAUCCCAUUCCAAAAGAGGGGGAGAAGCUUGGAUUCUGGUUAUGAUUCUUUAUAGUAAGAAGAUAAACUUCUCUUGUUGCAUCUAUGCUUAAAUCUAGCCUUCCAACCAUGGGGUUAAAUUCUGUGUUGCUUAUUCAGACAAAACUAUCUUUGAGGUUUAUGGAAUUAAGAACCACAGAAUUUGUCUAAGAGCUGUUGGAUCAUACCCCAUUUCUGACCUCAAAAACCUUUUACUUUCAUUCCUGAUUUUUCUUUUUGUAGAGAUUGUCUCCUGCACCAAAAUGUGUGAUGGUUUUGUGAUGUGGAAAAACAUUUACUGGGACUAGUUUAAAAUGACAUGAUAUUCCUUGCCUUUGUGAUCUAAACCAAAUUUGAACCCAGGUAUUCAUUCUUCAUUUGAACACAGACAUUAUCUUAUUCUCCAGUCUAAUCACUUAUACUCUUGUAUAACUUGUGCUGGAAGCACACUCUGGUAUUUUGGCUCUGAAAUGAUUUCAUUGUUAGGCUGAGUGUGACACAGAUGGUAUUCUUAAAUGUAAAAUUCUUUUUAUGAUUCUUGCAAUUUCAUACUUAUUUCAUUAGCUCAUUAUUUAUGUUAAAGGGACAUCAUCAACUUGAAAUCUGCUUAGUUAAAAAAAAAAAAAAAGAUUGAAAGUAGUUUUAGGUACCUGCCUCACAAUCUGCCAGGUUUUGUGGUUUCAGUACCACAUUUUUUUUAUUUUAAAAAUGUUUUUGUAUCCCUAGCUGCUGUGUGACAGAUUCACAAAAACAACAAGGGGAAAGAGUCUCAUUUAAGGGAUUAUAGGUGAGAAGCAGUGAAACUGACUAUGCACAAAGUGCUGUGAAAUGCACACAAUAAAGAAAAUGAAGAAGAUAAAAAAUAAUUUCUUUUUGCCAAUCUCUUUUAGUUAGACUAAUGUUAGGUGUUACUUGUAAUUUCAGUAGGGAAACAAUUUUCAGAUAGAAAUGUGAUUUCUAUCCAAAGCUGUCUCUUUAGUACACAAGUAUAGUUAUUAAAUAAACAUUAAUUAUGAUAGCUGCAAUUACUCAUUCAGAUCAAUAAUCAGAACCAGGAGUGAACCAAACCAUAGCAACUUUAUUUUUCCAUUAAAUAUAGUGUGAUUUAAAAUAAAUUCAAAAAGCCCUAACCAUUCAGCCCCAUCUGCUAGACAUGAAAAGUCACUUUAAACCCGAUGCAGAUCGUGAAAAAAUGGGAGAAGAGGUGUUCAAAAGAUACAGCAUAUAAGGACAGCUCCUCAGAUGGUGUAAAUCCAUGCUGCUCUCUUGAAGUCAACAAAGCUAUUCUGAUUUACCCCAGCUGAGAUCCUGGCCUGACAUUUUUAAGUGCCAGGUGUUAUGGUGAGUUUGUCCAUGGGGUCAUAUAUUGAUCCUGUUCAUUAAGGUAAAGUGGUGAAUGUGAUAUUUUUCAUUUUAAUCAGGACAAGGAAAGUAAAUGCUGUCAGGAAAAAAUCUAAUUUGAGGAUUUUGUUUUCCUGGAAACUGGGGGCUGUUUGCCUGAAUUGUAUGGGGUUUUUGUUUUGUCCUGUCUGUGUUCCGUGGGCUGAAUCCUCCUCAGACUGACAUCCCUUGCAACCCCACUAAUUUUGAUGUCUGACAGGUCUGUUUUAAUCUGUUUAAUCUGUUGGAACUCCCACAGCAGGAUCUGUAGAAGAUUUUUCUUUCUGUCCCCUGUCUGAGGUGCAGACUCUAUUGUCUGUGUGUUGGGGAGUAGGGUUCCACUGUGUUAGAAAAUCUUUUUGCUUCAGGCCCAAGGGAAAAGUGAUAAAGAAUUAAAAGGGAGGGACUAUAGCUAUGGUUAGUACUGAAUGCUGCUACUAUUGCGCCCUAUGCACUCAGCAAAUAUUUAGCUUCAUAGCAACAAGAAGCCUUUUUUUUUUUUUUAAUUUCCAAAGUUAAAGGGUAGAUUGUAUCUGACCACUGCAUGUUUGCACAAGUGUAGGGGAGGGCAUGAAAAGUCUUCACUGCUCUCAUUCAGUGGCUGGGAACAACUGUCCCUAAGAGCAGGGACAACUGCUCCCUUCUAGUGCUCCCUAGCUAGGCACUAGCUACCCCAAAAGGGAGGGGAAAAGGAGGCGAUAGGGUUAAGUUCCCCAUCCCUGCACAUACAUACAAGCAAAGACAUGCUGCACCGCUUUAAAGGUUGUAGUGGAGGUAUGCUCUCCCUGUAGAACAAGGGUGAGCUUUGCAAGAUGUUUUUCCUACAUAAAGCACAAUGCCUCCUGUGUUCUCCCUGGGGAAGUAAAGUUGUGCAAAGCCCUUUACGCAGGGCAGUGCCUAUCAGGUCCAGCAGCACUCUAGGACUGCAUUGGAAUGCACUCAGGAGAGAGCUGAGCUCACCCUGUGCUGGGGGUCAGCUGUAACUUUGGUAUUUCCUGGUGUUGCAGGGCUUUACUCUGAAGCCUGAACAUUCUUCUAACAGUUUUUAAAAAAAUGAAUUAUGUUAUAUUUCCCCAGCUGAGUAGAGCUGGCUGAAGCUCGAAAGGAGGUUCAGUCUAGAUGCACACCCAUAUGUUCGGAUGCAUAUCUGAACCUUGUCUGAACUGUCCACACUGCUUGUACUGGAAAAACUAGACAAUAAGCGUGAUUAGAAUAGGCUUUCAUGCAAGAUGUUUAAUAUCCAUUUGGGACAGAAAUAUUGCAAAACCAGCCUCUGUGGCCCUGCUGCCUUCAGUCUUCAUCUUGAGUGAAAUUAUGAAAUACAGAAGUACAGAAAAUAAAAAUAGCGGGUGAGUGAAGGGAAGUUAAUCUCCAUUUUUCCAACCCCAAUAAAAGUUAGAUUAGGGUUUAGUUCAGGCUUUGAUUGAAAUUUUAGUAGCGGUGGUGAUGGAGGAAAGAAUGUUUUUGUUUUAGCGGAAUUGGUUCAUCCAUCCUUGACAUGCUUAUGGUUAAGUCUGUGCCCACUGCUACGAUGCAAUGUAAAAAAAAGUCUGUACUUCUUCUUUAAGAGCUGUCCCUUCUGAGAAAAUUAGGGCUGACUAUAAUAGGGCCUGUCUCUAUUGUAUGCAAGGGAAUGUGGCAUAACACCAGUAGGAAGAGAGAGGAUUUUUCCAAAAAUGUGCUUGUGUGGUGAGUCUUGCUGCUCAUUGUCCUCAAAAGCAGGUGUAUCAUCUAUGUCUGUUGCCUGGAUAUGUUUCUGUUGUUAAUUAAACAAAUAUAUUAGUAAAAUACAAAUACUGGGUGACACUGCAUUUUAGCCAAGAGUUUUAUCCUUCCUCUGCACACUGGGGAUUUCUUUUCUAGUAUUCCUGAUUCAGAUUAGUUUAUUUCUUGGUGGCACCAUAAUCAGUGGAAUUAUUUCUAUUUUUAUUCCCAUUACAAAAGUUUCAGUGUCAGUUAAUAAGUGGUCAGGAAAACAAAGACCAUAUUUACGGAACAAAAGCCUCACUUUUUUGUUGAAUGGUAAAUUAAUAAAUGGUAAUUAAUGAUAAUUGGUAAUUGUAAUUAAUGCUAAUGGUAAUUCAUGGUAAAUUAAUUUAGGGAUCUAGCUAAAAAAUUGUAGCUAAAAAUCCAGACUCCACUCUGGCCUGAGUGAGCUUGGGAGAUGCACAGUGGCAGGUGAGGAGAAAUUUCCCUCCCAGGCCACAGUAUAACUUUGGUGUUGCUCCAUGAAUCUACGUCAGCCCAGUGAGUAACAUUGUCUGUGAGGGGCAUUCACACUGCAUCCCCAGUCAGAUACAGUUCUCCUGGCCUCACCCUGUUCUCAGACUGCCCAUGCUCUGUCCCCUCCCACUCCCUUCAUGCUGUUGCACGGACAGUAUCUUGCUCACAUCCAGUUUGUCUUGAACAGCAGAAUGAUUCCACAGCACAGAGGCCCUUGGCAGUUGUAGAGGAGAGGCCUGGAUUUACCCAUUAACAUACUAAGGACUAAAUUCAGUCCUGAGUUAAGGACCCACGAUGCUUCACUGAAACCAUUGUGGGUAGCGUGGAAUGACUAUCAGGGCCGAAUUUUCCCUAACAGUCUGAGUUACACAUACAUACACUUCGAUCUUCUCAAAAAGCAUUUAAGUAAGAACUGACCUUUCUAUGUCAGUUGUGAAAAAACAUAAUGGCUGGGUUUGGAGAAGUAUACAAACUAGGAAGCUGGACAUAGACAAAUGUACAUUUUUUCCUAAGAACACGUUUACAGCUGGAAUUCUCCCCAGCAUUACAGUUAAAGGGAGUAGAUGUGGUUAUAGUGUUCAGUGACAAUAUCUGUAAAGCUCCUUCCUAACAUGUAAUGGGAUGUGAGGCCUUUGAUUUUAGUCGUCCCAAAAACAUUAUUUCCAUUGAAAUGCCUGCUCCUGAAAAGUUGCAGUCCUUCAUGUGUAUAGUGCACAAACGACAGAGUUGUGUUGUGGCUCUUUUAAACUGUAUUAAAGUGGAUGUAAAAUAGGCACAAUGUCCCUCCACCCUUAGGAGUACCCCGGCAUAUGGGGCCUCUCAGCCAGCCAUAGAACCAGCUUAGCCACCUCCAUGCCCUCUGCAGGCAGGACAUUUCUGUGCCCCAGAUAUUCUCUGGUAGUGCCAUGGCCCACAGGGAGACCUUAACAGCUGGAGCACUAGUUAAGGCAGCCUUCAGGAAGGCUAUGUCUACACUACAGCCUGUGUCGGCAUAACUUAUGUCAUUCAGUGGUGUGAAUAAACCACCCCCCUUGAGCAACAUAAGUUACACUGACAUGAGCACUCGUGUGCACAGCGCUCUGUCCGUAGGAGAGCUUAUGCUACUCGCGGAGAAGGGAUUUUUUUAUGCUGACAGGAGAGCUCUCUGCCAUUUGCAUGGAGUGUCUUCAUCGGACGCGCUGCAGUGGCGCAGUUGUAUUGCCGCUGCAGUGCAGUACGCCUAGACAGACCCUACAACUUGCUCAGUAGAACUUAAUCAGCAAAUCUGAGCAUUGAAGGCUGAAGUGACCCCCAACAGCUCCAGGAUAGGGGAGGUGCAAGCUGCCCUUUCUUCAUUGUAUUUGUUUAUGGCUUCUUAGAGGUGCACGGAUAUUGGAGGGGGCAAAACUGGUUAAUGGUAUCUGACCUGCUUUGUGGUGAUAGUGAAAAACUUGGAGACACUCCUACAGUUUUGUCCACCGUGGACUCAAAAUUCUGUCAUUUGUACUCACAUUAAGUAGUACUCUCCAAGUAGUUCCAUUUUUUUCAAUAGGCCUACUUGCAAAAAUAGGCCCUGAUCCUGCAAACAUUUACAUGAGUGCUUAAUUUAGAUCCAUUCAUGGGACCGAGACGCAUUCUGAAAACUAAAAGGUGCAUAAGUGUUUCCAGGAUCCAGGCGUUCGAACUUACUCAAGCCUCAGUGGAAGUGAAGUUGGCAGAAUACGGUGGAGUGGGGUGAGAAAAUUAGGGAACACAAAAUCAUGAUAUUUACUCAGUUUAUGCAUUUUUCUACUUUUUUCAUGAAAACCUGCAUACAGAACAGGCACAUAAUUGUUUUGCUAAGUGAGCCUUGAAAGUAAGAGUCUUGAUAGCUGUUAAGUAUCUCCUUUCUAGUACAGUAUGUUGUCCUUAUAAGCUAAUCAGUAAAACUUGCUCGGUAGAACUUAAUCAGCAGAACUGAGCACAUUGUCAGUGCUUAACAAAUACUACUACUACUAAUAAUUAAUAAUUAGUAAUAACAUGAGCUCCUUUUAACACAACCUAUCAGACUUUUGCUUUAUUUUGAGGAGGGCUUUACUUGCCUCUAGUUAACUUAAGAAUUAAUAUUUAUUACAGCUCUAUUUACAACAGCCAAGAGGAAUUUGAGUAGGAAGGAAAAUAUUGAUGAAAAUUAAAUUUUGACAAAUAUCGGAAAUGAAAUUCAGAGAAAAUUAUCAUGCUGUUUCACGCAUCAAACAACAGUGCAUUUAGUAUAAGGUUCUGAAAGAACAGUAAUUUUCAUACAAGUAAGUGUCCAUAUUAUUGCUAAUAAAACUGGAUCUGGACAAUUGUUUGAAAUGUAAAACACUAUAUUUGUAUGUGAUUGUUAUUAGAAUUACCUUUGAUCUCCUGCUGUUCUCUUCUUUAAAAGUUUUCCUUAGAAUGUUGUGACUUAUAUAUGUUAUAAGAGAGGGAUUGGAUGGCUCAGAGAAUUGGUAAUGGAUCCAGAGCUGUUCACUUCUGCAUCACCCCUCUAAUUUAACACAGGCUGGCAGUGACUGAAAGUUAAUCUAAUGGCUGUUUGGUAGUUUAUGUGAAAUCGAUUUGUGGUUUACAUGCAGUUCCAACAGGACAAGAAUUCACAUUCUAAACAAAUCUCUGGGCCAGAUCCUUAGCUGCUUUUAAUAAUUGCAGCUCCAGUGACUUCAAUGGAGCAAUGGUAAUUUACACCAAUAAAUGACCGUCAAUCACAGCUGGCACUAGUUAACGUGUGUUGUCAGGCUCAAUAUAGAUGACAGUGACUCAGUGAGGAGGGAGAUUAUGGGCAGAUUCUCAGCUGGUGUAAACCAGUGUCAUACCAUUGAAGUCAAGGUAACUAUACUGAUUUACCAGCUGAAGAUCUAGCACUGAAUGCCUAUAGGUGGCCAUGUCAGGUCAAGUUUGAGCCACAGUUAGAGCAGUUAGAGUUGCUUGCACCACUGAUGUCGUGCUGUACCGGGUGUUUGAAUAUAAAGAGAACCUUAAUAUUCAGGGCUGUCAACGAGUGUUAACUUACAAGCAACAAAAUGUACUGAUUUAUUUUAAAAUCUUGUGGAAAAAAUUCUAGGGACUAAUUCUACUCCCACUGAAGUCUGAUGUGUAUGAGAUAUUGUGGUGCUAUUGGUAAAAUAUAAGUGAAAGUCCUAAGUAAGUGUUAUGAGAUCUGUCCUUUUCUUGAUAUGUAUGCAUUGUCCUGACAGAUACUCAAAUGUGACAGGUUUCAGAGUAACAGCCGUGUUAGUCUGUAUUCGCAAAAAGAAAAGGAGUACUUGUGGCACCUUAGAGACUAACCAAUUUAUUAGCUCAUGCUCAAAUAAAUUGGUUAGUCUCUAAGGUGCCACAAGUACUCCUUUUCUUUUUACUCAAAUGUGAGUUGCAUAUGUGUGAUAAGGAGAGAAGAGGUCCCUAUGAACACAAAUAAACUCUGCUCAUGAAAAGCAGCAGUAUUUUGCAGGGGUAGCCACAAAUGCUGCAAUACCACUCCUGGGGUGAACACAUAUUUAAUGUAAAACAAUAUUGUUACCUAGAAUUUAAGCUUUCCAAGGAAGGGGCUUUUGGUCCAGAUUUUAAAAGAUAUUUAGGUGCCUAAAGAUGCAGAUAGGCAUCUAAUGGGAUUUUCAAAGCAGGAUUGCUGCUUCACAGUUGGGGAAUAUGAUCCCUUAUCCCUUAUACUUAUAUUUGUCUUUAAAAGCACCUAGCACACAAUUGAUGCUAUAUAUCUAUAUAUCUCUAUAUAUCAAAUAACAACAGGGGUUAUAAGAAGGACUAUACAAGUAAUCUAAUAAUGUGUGUACUACUGAGGACUCUUGACACAUACAUACAAAUUCUUAUGAAUGAAUAUUGUAUUGUGAAACCCUAACUACAUGAAUUGCAGAUUGAGUCUUCUGUAAGCUAUGCUUGGUGGCGUCAUUCAAUGGAAAUAGGGAAAAUCCAGAGAACAGGAAGGUCCUCAAACACAACACAAGUGGAUCAUUUCCAAUCAUCAGCAGGUGGGAGCAGGAAGGAUUGAAAACUUGCACAGGAGUGCAUGCCCCCUGAGAGUGUCAGAGUCUGUUCUGUUGUGGACUAUCCCUCCUGCAGGAUUUUGAGGGUGGGUGUAGUUUUGGGGAGGAGCAGGAGUAGGGAGUAGUUGUGAUAGCACAGAGUAGGCGUCAGCAGUGGAUCUACCAUGGUGUAGAUUCACUGAUCGUUGAUCCUGGAAGAAUAAGGAUAAAGCAGUAGAGUUGGUGCAUCACAGCUCGGGAGCAAGAAUCCUUUUCCCCACCCUCAGUCUCAUCAUCAAGCUAGGUUACUUAGGUUUGGGACAGGAGAAAGGAUUUGGUUCACAACGAGUAACUGUAUAAAGUGCUUCUCAUGUAAAAUAUUAGCUUAACUGCCUAGUAAACAUAUAAUGAUUUUAAGGAAAAUCAGUAAAAACAUGUCUGCAAAGGACACACCAACCUGAGGACUACAAGGGAGUUUUAAUUAAAAUAGCAGGUUAAAAAAAAGUGUGAUGCAAUAUUAUUAUUUCCUAACAUAUCAACAAAGUACAAACGCCUAUUUUUAGUGCAAUUUUCUAAAUGAAAAAGUAAACAUUAAUAUCUUCAGAGAUCUUACUGAUCCAGUAUGAUAAUUUAGAAAAAUAUCUCUAUUAGGGAUAGUUAUAUAUGCUUUUUGUUGGAAAUGCAAUCACAAAAUGUGCAUAUAACUGCAAUCUGUAGAUAGAUUAAGUAAAUUAAAUCACUCAAUGUCUUUUUUCAAUAGCUCUAAAGUUAAAAGUAAUUUGCAAAGAAAAUACUCAGUUUCAAUUGGUUUGUAAUAUCUGCUAAUGAUCUUUGGAAAAAUUUCUGAUAACACACUGGAAUUCCCUCAGGGACAGGAUUUUGAAUAAGUGGAUUUUUUAAAAGUCUGAGAUGUCAUUAGCUAGUGAUUUCUUUGAAGUAAAAAGCUGUUAAAGAAUAAAUUGCAUAGGUAUACAAGUGAACAGGACAAUCAUUUUUAUGAAUAAUAUGCAUUUUUCCACUGUGCUUUCUGCCCAGAAAAGAAAUCAUUCAAAAUAUAAGCUGCUAACUGAUAUAAAUAUAUAGGAAUCACAACAGUGUAAGCAUUUUGUGCUUAUUUUACACAUUUAUUAAAUCUUUACAUAUAUUUAGAGACUACUGGUGUAAAAACUCUAGUGUAGGGAACAGUUUUGAUCCUUUUCACUGUUUUUUUCUGGUAAACAAUUUCCUAAAACUAGAGGGCCUAUUAGUGGUUACUGCAUAACUCCUCUGAGCUGUCACAGUUCUGCAGCAGCCCACCUCCACCAUUUCCCUAGCGACAGGGUAUAAGACUCCUCCACAGUGCCAUAUAUGGCCUAUCGUGUAGUUGGUACUGAGGGGAGUGUGGUCAUGGGAAAAUGGAACCUCCUCUGCUGUUCCUGUAUAGGGAGAUCGUAAAGGGACACAAGUGGUCUCCCUCAUUCAGCACCAGAGUCUGCUGACAUCUCCUAAAUGGAUUAGAUGGGAGUACUGGCCAGAAGCCGCCCCCCCGCCCUCCUCCCCAUGCAGAUAGUUGGGGAAAGAGGAACCACACAGGCACUAUUGACCCUCCAGCCCCCUCCCACUCACAAACACCUGUUUCAUCCAGGUGCUCACUGAGUUCUCCUCCAGUCCUUGGCCCUCUUUUUUCCUGCCCUGCAGUUCUGUGGGGGCUAUUACAGCACCCAGAUCGCUGCAGCCUCUGUGACUCCUGUGCAGGGACAGAAAGGAGACAGGAUCUGCACAACUGUGGUGAAUGGGAUGCAGAGACAUACUGUGCAUAAGCUCUCUAGUCUUUUCUGGGCCUCUGCAGUUCCUGUAUACAAUGGCUCCAGACCUGCACUAGCCUGUCCAUCGUUGGGCAGAUCAGAUGGCUGUUGACUUUCCAUACACAGGACUUCUGUGCCACUGAACAUUUGUUUGAGGAAUAUUGGAACCUAUUCAUGGCUAUACCUGAACAGACCCAUGGUCCUUCAAGUAUGGUGUUGUGACUCUGACAAAGAUUACAACACCAUAGCUGAUGUUUCAGAAGCAGCUUAUCCCUCUACAUAAUGUACCUAAUUGUGCAAUGCUUUAUAGAAUCAUAGAAUAUCAGGGUUGGAAGGGACCUCAGGAGGUCAUCUAGUCCAACCCCCUGCUCAAAGCAGGACCAAUCCCCAAUUUUUGCCCCAGAUCCCUAAAUGGCCCCCUCAAGGAUUGAACUCACAACCCUGGGUUUAGCAGGCCAAUGCUCAAACCACUGAGCUAUCCGUGGUAUCAUGAGGGCAACGUCUUCCUGACCCCAAUUUGUGACUGAAUUAUGCCAUGAACCAUUGGGAUACCUAGCCAUAGUAAUGUAAUCCUAGCUAGUCAAACUUUCAUAGAUUUACAGGCCAGAUGGGAUCAUUAUGCUCAUUUAGUCUAUUAUCCUGCAUAACACAUGCCAUUGAAUCUCACCCAACUUCUGAAAUUGUAUUUCUUUAAAUGUCUAGUCAUUUAAAAAUCUUAUUAAGCUAUUUACUUCAGUAGUAUUUCGCAGCAGUGAGUUCCACAAAUUAACCAUGCAUCGUUUAAAAAAGUAAUACCUCUUAUCCAUUUUAAAGAUUUCAUCUUGCAAUAUGGAAAAAGUUGAAGGCCUUUAACUGAGCUUGAUGAUGAUGAUUGAUGAAUUAUUUAUAUUACUGUUAGUGCCUAGAGACCCGAGCCGACAUCAGGGCCCCAUUGUGCUAGGCACUGCGCAAAUACAUAGUGAGAGACCAUCUCAGCCCUGAAGGGCUUACAGUUGAAAUGGAAUUUUCAAAAGAGCCAAAGUGACUAAGGAGCACAAGACUUACUGAAAGGCAAUGGGACUUGUGCACCUAAGUCACUCAAAUGUUUGAAAAUUCCAUCCAAAAUGUGAAAACAACAGUCCAGAAAGAAGUUACUUGCCCAGGGUCACCUAUCAGGUUUGUGACAGAGUUGAUUCACAGCAGGGGCUCUGGCAGGUGAAAGUCCUCCCAGAGAGGAGGCUGCAAUGAUGCAGAGUAUCUGCUUUAUAGCAGGCCCAUAGCUGUGCAGAGCAGCCACAAGAAUGGUUAGGGUUCAGUGCAUCUUGUAAACUGUCUCUGGCAACAGAGGUCUUAUGAAGCACUGGUCACAAGCAGUUCUCCAGAUGGAACUGUCAUGGUGCAAAUUUUAUUUGCACCCCCAUGGGGUAGAUCUCCCCUGCAGCAUAGUCCUUGUGUUUUUAAUCUCUUCUCAUGAAAUUCCCCUCCCCUUUGCCUUUCAUCAUUUUUAUUGCCAUUUUCUGGACUUUUUUAUUUCUGCUAUCUCUUUUCAGGGAUGAGGUGACCAAUCUUCAGUAUUCAAAGUGAGGAUGUACCACUGAUUUAUAUAAUGGCAUUUUAAUAUUUUCCAUAUUAUUCUCUUAAAAUUGUUCUUGCUACAACCCCCAUACGAUUCUCUUUUUAAUUCUUUGAACUACACUGCCUUUUAACAUCUGUAGUUUACUCAAUCAGAUUUUGACAAAGGAAUAAAAGGCUUCAUCUUUCACAUAGGAUUUUAUUUAUUGUAUGAACUGUAGAGAAGAAAUUGGUUAUUACUUACUAUUUAAAAUUCAUGGCAAUAUAGUAACAAUUGGGCAAAGAUUUCAUUAUCAGUCCUUAUUUUAGUGACCUACAUUUCCUGUAAAUGUAAGCGAGGAUGAAAGUUGGUAUACAACGUCUCAGCUCAAGAGUGUGUUUUGUGCAUAUAUAUUUUGCCACAUACAUACAUGAUUUUGUUCACUAGACCAUGUGCAUGUAAAUUAGACCAAAUUAAGUCCCCUGUAUGUGCUUACUAUACUUACUGUUUUUAAAAAAGGUCUGUACUACAUACCUAUUUAUUCAGUUAACCAGAAAUAGAAUCGAAUCCUGAUCAAUGGAUAAACUCAUGGCAGCAACAUUCUGUUUUUCCACCAGCUGCAUUCUUGCUUUAAGAGGUAUUCAAAUAAGAGGGCGCUAACAUCUUAUGAAAUAUCUUUUGGUUUAAUAUCUAGAAAACGUUCAUUUAACUCUUCUGUAACUGAAUCAAUUUUUCCCCUGAAAUGUAUUUUUAGGUGCUUGGAAGUUUCUUUUUUUUCUGGUCUCUAGCUCCCUUACAUGUAUUUCUGAAAAUACGUGCUUAUUUAUCUGAGAGGUUCCAAAGCAUCUUUCCCCGCAAGCAUACACAUGGGUUAAAAUCUCUUUACCGUAUUGAGGAAGUAGUUCUGGUUUGUUGGGUAAGUAAUACACUCAUGAAAAUCCUUUGGGAAUGAUUGGGUUUUUCCCUUUUAAAACAGUUCAAACAGGAAACAAAGACAUUGACACUGACAAAGACAGGGAGGGCUCAUUCCAACUCCCACUGGAAACAUCCAUCGACUAUAGUGGACGUUGGAUUGGGCCCAGAGAAAAUAAAUACAUUUGAGUUAACAAUGAGUUUAUGGCACAAGCCAGGAAAAUUACAGACUCACAUAAAUUAGCAAUGUACAAACCUUUAGGACAUCCAGUCCAGCUCCUUGCCAAUGCAAGAUUGUGUCCUGUAGCAUAUUUUCUAGUGUUUUGUACAUCUAGAUUAAAUGUCCCAAGUGAUGACGCUUCCCUAGGGAAACGAUUUCACUGCCUAAUGGAUCUUGCUGUCAAUUUUUUCCCCUUUCUUAAUGUCAUCCCAUUACUCCUAGUUAUGUUCCCUUGAACCUCCUUAAAUAAUUCCUUUCCUUCCUUGGAGUUAUUUCCUUCAAGUAUCUUUAGACUAUUAUAAUGUUCCUCUUAGUUGUCAGUUAGCCAAGCUGUGUAUACAUAUUUAGCUCAUUUAAUCUUUCCUGAUAAAUCAAUCCCUUCUGUCCCCUGGUUAUUUUUCUUGCUCUUCUCUCAACACUGGUCUAGAUUGUCAGUUUCUUUUUGGUGACGAGGUGUCACGAGGUGCUGUUACUGCUCUGAAUUAAGGAUUGAUUUUGCAUGGUGCUGAGCACCAACUGUCUUAGUUUAUACACUCUGACACUUUGGUGGUGACUGUCCUAAAAUUCCUAUACAGGCAGACAGAGUGACAGAGAACCUUUUGCAAGAUCAUUCCCUUAUCUUCACUUUUUUUUAUUCUGUUGGUCACUAUUACCUAUAGUCAGGAGUGCAAAUAGGGAGGUACCCUCUAGUACGCAGUCUCGGCAAGAGAUUUUUACUGGGUAUGGGGUACCAGAAAGACUUGGGGCUAGCUCCUCCCUCCAGAAGGUGUGGGGGUGGUGCUGCGCUCUUCUCCUUAAGGGAGCAGAACGUGGUUAGGGAGGGCAUUCAUUCUUUAAAUGGCUUUAACAGCACAAUACAUAUGCUAACAAAUUUAAACAAAGGCUUUGUUUAAGUUUGUUAGCAUAUGUAUUGUGCUGCUUUACGUUGGUCAGGAGUCCUCAAGAGGGGAGGGUGCAGGGGACGGAAGAUGUUUUUGAUUCUGUUGCUGCCCAUUGGUCUGAAUUAUCCAUGACACCCAUACUGCAUCACAUCAAGUCCAAACCAUUAGAGGAAUGCCUCUGCUUGCACUGACCAGAGGAUGUUUGGAUUCUGAUGUCAGCCCAGUUCUGCAGCCUGAUAGGAAUCAGGUGUUGUCCCCAGUGUACAUAGAAUUCUUCUUUGCAGCCAAACUAGUUUAACAUGCAUUUUGUUAACUGGAACUGGAGCAGCAAAACAAAGAAAACAAAUGCCUCAUUUUCCAGCUUUCUGGGUGAGAGAACUAUAAGUGAAGAUUAUAAUGUUGGACACUGAUGGCCUUAAACCAGCUACCUCAGGAAUCUGCCAAGAACUUUCCUGAAAAUAUGUUUCUCAUCUUAGCAACAGAUCUAAGACUUAUCACACAUCUGCUCACCUUUAUUCUAAUGAAGCUCCUUCUGAUCUGACAGCUCAGGCAUUGUCAGUUUCAUCCAGAACAAUUUACAAACUUGGAACCUAAUCCUGUAACCCUUAAUCAUUUGAUCAAUCCCAUUGAAGACAAUGGGACUAUUUGCAUGACUAUGGACCACUUUUGUGGACUAGUAAGAGUUUUAGGAGUCUGUUCCUAUAAAGGAAGUUGAAUCCCCCAUUGAAAUGUAGUGUUUGGUACAAUACCAUAAAGCAGUUUAGGAUACAGUUCUAUUUAAAAUUUGUCUUUUAAUAAGUCAUACAUAUGCUGAAAUGGCUCCUCACCCAACUCCCAUAUAAACAGACUGAAAUACUACGUAUUUUGGGGGACAGUGAGUCGUUAAGCAUGUUGAUGUUUGUAUAUACAAAGGGGAGUGUCGGAGAGGAAAGGGAGAGCGUGGGGGCCCCGAACUGGGGGUGGGACAGGGAGGAAUCACAUGGAGGGUCACCUGGAGAGGUCACAUACCCUCCUUUGUCUCCCUCCCAUGAGUGCAGUACCGGCAAGAAAUUAUUUCUACUUGCACCAUUGCCUACAGUAGUUGAAACAGUCAGUCCAACUGGUUUUAAAAAUAAACGCUCACCAUUAUGAUUUUCUUUUUGACACAAAAGCGUGAGAUAAAAAUGACAAUGUCCAGCUUUCGGUGUUUUAUUUUAAAAUCUACAACUAUUGAACAUAUUGGCUUGUCUAGUAAAUAGGUGUAAGUGCUACAAACAACACUUCUUCAGUGCUAAACAGAUCUUGGUUGUAAUUGCAUGUCUUUUCCAGAGUUUUCUGUUGGAUUGGGGGAAUAUCAUUUUCAUCCACACUCUUUAAAUUUUCAUUAAGAAAAGCUUUGGCUACCUGCAGCCUCAUCUGGUCAUGUUUAAUGAUAUCUGCUAACUCCUUCUUCUUUGUACCAGCAGGGGCUUCUUUAAAUCGGUCAGCUGUGUGGAACAUUGCUUUCAUGAGUUAAUAUCUUUUGGAUCAGACUUUUAAAAUAAUGGCUCCCAAUAAGUUCAUUUGUAUUUAUAUAAGCGUAUUUACUUCCUUUAAGCAAUUCAAACUGCUGUCAGCAUAGAAAAAAAUUACCAGUAAAAGUGAUGAUGGUACAACUUGUUUCACUUUACCCUGUUUCACCUAAUACAAUUCAGAGGAGACAGUAUUGAUGAGCUAUUUCUGUUGGUUCAUUAUGCUGAAGUCAUCUUUCUAAGAGGGUGGGAUAAAUGUUCUUUGCUGAUUUGAUUAUGCUGCCUAUUGCCUUAUAUAUUUUUUGCAUAAAGUCUUGUUUCAUAUGGGCACUCCAUGGCCCAAAUCAUUAAAAUAUUUAUAUGUGAUACACAGA